CACGUAGGGGGCAAGCGUUGUCCGGAAUCAUUGGGCGUAAAGAGCUCGUAGGCGGCUCAGUAAGUCGGGUGUGAAACCCUCAGGCUCAACCUGGGGACGCCACCCGAUACUGUUGUGGCUAGAGUGCAGAAGGGGCAAUCGGAAUUCUUGGUGUAGCGGUGAAAUGCGUAGAUAUCAAGAGGAACACCUGAGGUGAAGACGGGUUGCUGGGCUGACACUGACGCUGUGGCGCGAAAGCUAGGGGAGCAAACGGG
rnacentral:rRNA from 1 species